CUUAUCGAGGAAAAGUCCCUCGCAGCAGGGAGGAGAGAAGAGAAGCAGAGGGAGGGAGGGAGAGAGUGAGGGAGGAGAGGGGCCUGACACUCAGGCUGAGUCUGGGACACCUUGCAGCAGCGUGGCCAGCCUUCCCUUCCACUGGACCUCGGUGGCCAAGGGCUACUCCCAGUCCCUUCCACAUGCCCCUGGCCGAGCACUCAGGUCACUUUUAGUUUGCCUGCAGAAAAAGGCAGUCAGAGGACAAACGGCCUUUGACCCCCCCACUCUCCUGGUGCUGGAAAGGAGGCAGCGCCCAGCAAAUGGGACUCUCCCUGGAGCCAUAAGGACUAGGAGGGCUGGCAUUUGGCUGAGUAGCCAGGGUAUUUUUAUCCACUCUGUACAAUCUGAUUUUUUUAGUUGGCAUACUUUCAGACAGAAUUUUCCUAUUAAAAUGUGCUAAAAUUAUGCCUGAAGAGAAAGCCCAUUGUAUACAGAUAACUCCCCACAAAAGGCCCUCUGAUUGCACAGGCCCCACGUGACUCCAAAAAGCACUGGGGUCGGCCGGGCGUGGUGGCUCACGCCUGUAAUCCCAGCACUUUGGGAGGCCAAGCAGGGUGGAUCACCUGAGGUCGGGAGUUCAAGACCAGCCUGACCAACAGGGAGAAACCCCGUCUCUACUAAAAAUACAAAAUUAGCUGGGCAUGGUGGCGCAUGCCUGUAAUCCCAGCUGCUUGGGAGGCUGAGGCAAGAGAAUCACUUGAACUUGGGAGGCAGAGGUUGCAGUGAGCCGAGAUUGCCUGAUUGUACUCCGGCCUGGGCAACAAGAGCGAAACCCCGUCUCAAAAAAAAAAAAAAAAUCAGAGGUCUAGCCCAGCAGGACAUGUAUGGCCAGCUCUCCCUGCAGGGUGAGAGGGACUUUGGAGAAAGGAGGACCAGAAGGAGAGCAGCCCUUCCCAUCUUCUCUUCCCCUGGGCCAGGAGAGUGCUUUGGGAUGAGGGACGUCCCACACCACAGACUGCAACCCAGCGCUUUGAAAGAAGUUUAAAGAAAAUGUUAGGGUUUGGACAAGGCCCAGCUGGGCAAGAGAUUCUUGUUUUCUAACCAGGAGAAUACACUUGCUGCUAAAACAUACAGAGGAAGAGAUUAACAUAGUAACGAAGCAAAGCAAGGAGGAGAAACAAAACCGUCUGUACUCAACAAGAGGGUGCCCCGCCCAGCCUCAGCUCCUCUAGCCAACAGGAGAGCUGCCACCCAGCUCUCCAGAACAGCCCAAGGCGUGGCCACACUUCACCUUGGAUUCCCCACAACAGAGAAUAUCAGGCUCCAGUGUUCCAGGUCCAGCUUCCCAGGGGCUCCUGGGAACCAGGCAAGAAAUCACAACUCUGAGGAGAAAGCCAAACCCUGUUUAUCAAAGAUCCCUGUGUCCUUGUCUAUUGGCCAGGCCCCAGGACUGGUGUCCCCUCUCCAGAGUCCAGGCCUCCUUUCUCCAGGGGCCUCAUUUCCAGAGCAGGCAGGGUACAGGCACUGUUGGAUUCACCCGCACAGCUCUGAGAGUGGGCUUGGCCCAUUUGCGGAACCCCGAACCAGGGAUGCCAAGGUUCUGUGCACUCCAGGCUGCUCAACCCCAAACUCCAGAAGCAGGUGAAAAGAGAAUGUGGCUGGAACGCUCUUCUAGCAAGGUCCUCGAGUUCUUGGACCAGAAAGACAAAACCCUUCUCCCAUGGGAAAAACAGACUUCUAACCCUAGAGCACACAAAACCAACUCGCACCAUUAAGCCCAGCCAUUCACAUUCUUUUUCGCAACUCUCCACCUUCCCAAGGGCAAAGCAAAGCCUUCUUUCCAAGACAAGUCCCAUCUCUCACCCCAAAAGAAGAGCAGGGGUAGUUGACGGUGAAAACUCAUAACAGAUAAGUGAAGAACUUCGUCCUCACAUCAGCCCUGGGGGCAGAAUUCCCGGCCCAGCACAGAGCCCAUCCGGGUAGGAGGGACAGCGGCCUGCGUGACGUGGUUGUCAGAGACAGCCUCGUGCUUCCAUAUCGCCACCCGCAGAGCACAACAGUUCAGUCUGCGAUUUCAACUCCAGACCGUAUUGACAGAAGCAAAGAAAACAACAGCUAAAACCAGAAGGUCUCACCAGGGAGCCUAUGUUAAAAAUAAAAAUAAAUAAAAUACUUGGAACAUUCUUUUCUGCAGGAACAUCUACUCCCUUUUCUACUUAAUCCUGGCCUCCUUUCUUCUCUCCCUCUUUUCCUAAUGAGCCCCUCUGGCUGCUGCCCAGCGUGGUGGCUCCUCCUCCCCCCAUGCCCA
rnacentral:lncRNA from 1 species